UGGCGCACGGGUGCGUAACGCGUAGCCAACCUGCCCUCGACCGGGGGAUAGCCCGCCGAAAGGCGGAUUAAUACCGCAUAAGACUUGGGGCCGGCAUCGGUUUUUGGUUAAAGAUUUAUUGGUCGGGGAUGGGGCUGCGUGCCAUUAGCUGGUUGGGGGGGUAACGGCCCACCAAGGCGACGACGGCUAGGGGAGCUGAGAGGCUGGUCCCCCACACGGGCACUGAGACACGGGCCCGACUCCUACGGGAGGCAGCAGUAGGGAAUAUUGGGCAAUGGAGGAGACUCUGACCCAGCCAUGCCGCGUGCCGGACGAAGGCCUUCUGGGUCGUAAACGGCUUUUUUCCGGGAAGAACCGGUUCCGUGCGCGGGGCCCUGACGGUACCGGGAGAAUAAGCACCGGCUAACUCCGUGCCAGCAGCCGCGGUAAUACGGAGGGUGCGAGCGUUGUCCGGAUUUAUUGGGUUUAAAGGGUGCGUAGGCGGCCGCGUAAGUCCGGGGUGAAAGCCCGUUGCUCAACAACGGAACUGCCCUGGAAAC
rnacentral:rRNA from 1 species